AUCGCCAUCACCAACAUCUACACCCCCUCUACCCAUGCCCUCAAACCAGCCUUUCUUGACGAACUCCUCUCGAUCGCACAACCAGAUAAUGCUCCCUGGCUCGUUCUUGGAGAUUUCAAUCUCCUACGCUUCCCUUCUGACAAGAACAAUCCCACCUUUCGACAAUCAGAAGCGAAUGCUUUCAAUCAGGCUACCGAUACCCUAGCCCUCAUUGAGCUGCCACUCCUCGACCGACAUUUUACGUGGUCUAAUAACCGAUCCUCGCCCACGUUAGAAAAGAUCAAUCGCGCAUUCUUUAAUCUCGCUUGGGCAGAUGCUUUCCCUAACACCUCCUUGUCCUCCCUCACACGUUUCACCUCUGAUCAUGUUCCCCUGCUUGUACACGUCACCACUACGAUCCCACGUCCUAACUUCUUCAAAUUCGAGCCUGGCUGGUCCAAAUUUCGCCCAUGCAACGACAUCAUCACACGAUGCUGCUCAUCCUCGCUUUCCCCUUCAACCAACUCGGCCGCUAACCUUGCAGCUGCACUCAAAAAAUCACGGUCCGAACUCAAAACUUGGACACAUUCUCGCAUUCCCACCCCCUCCGCGAAUCACGCUGCAAAGCUGCCAUCUCAGCCCUGGAUCAUACUGAAGAAUGCAGGCCCCUCUCAACAACCGAACUCCUCACUCGCAUGA
rnacentral:rRNA from 1 species